GACGAAGGGUCCUAGCGUUGCUCGGAAUCAUUGGGCGUAAAGGGUGCGUAGGUGGCCUUGUAAGUCAGGUGUGAAAGCCUUGGGCUCAACCCAAGAAGUGCACUUGAUACUGCAAGGCUUGAGUACAGGAGAGGGCAGUAGAAUUCCUGGUGUAGUGGUGAAAUACGUAGAUAUCAGGAGGAAUACCGGUGGCGAAGGCGGCUGCCUGGCCUAGUACUGACACUGAGGCACGAAAGCGUGGGGAUCAAACAGG
rnacentral:rRNA from 1 species